rnacentral:lncRNA from 1 species
GGCAGCCAAGACGAGGAGGAUAUGAAGGAAGAAGAGGCUGUAGCUGUGCUGAAUGAGCUGUGGGUUUGGCUGGUCCCACUGGUGGUCACUGUCAUUGGUGGGGCUGUGUGGGUGGACCCUGUGGCCUUGAGCGUUGUUGGUGGAGGAACGGUGCCUGUUGGCGUUGAGUGGAUGGAGGCAGAAGUGGCCAUCUGUGUGUGGGUAGUGAUGAUGACUGUGUGAGUACUUGGAGUCACCAAGGAGGUGGAGAAAGGUGGAACGUGAGUGGGAAGUGUGGUCUGAGGGUGUGAUGGGGUUGGAUAGGUAGUGGUGGUCUGGAAGGAUGUUGCAGUCAUAGGACCUGUGGAAGAGAAGGGACUGCUCCCUGUAGGUGGGGAGUGUGUGGUGAAGGGUGUGGGUAGCCUGCUGCUGCUGGCCGAGGUGGUGUGGGCCACAGGGGUUCUGGUGCCUGUACUGGUGUGUUUGGGGGUGAUGUUGGUGGUAGAAGUUGGGGUGACUUCAGGAUGGUGUGUGGAGGAAGUGUGUGAAUGUAGGGAUGUAGAGGUUUUGGCCGUGCUAAAUGAGCUUCGGGAUUGGCUGGUCCCACUGGUGGUCACUGUCAUUGGUGGGGUUCCUG